rnacentral:misc_RNA from 1 species
AGAAGAUAAAGUUUGUUCAGUAUGAUGCAAGGGUUGAGUUUUCUCCAACCAAGGAAGACUAUAAAUAAGGAAGAUAAGUCUCAGAAUUGGGUCUCAAAUAAUAAUUAAUUUUAAUAACUUCGAGAUUUUUUUUAGUUAUUUAGAAUUUUUCAUGUUUAUGAACAGUAGGAACUUAUUAGUAUUAUUAGAAUCUUCUUCCUUAGGAACCAUGUCCCAUAAUUAAAGAUCAGGCAUUCAGAUACUUACAAGUUCAGUAACUUGUGUCUAUGUACAUGCUUUUAUUGUUUUAUUUUCAACAGAAUAGAAUCAGUCCUUCUUUUUGAAUAAGAAUCUCAGUGAGUAUGCUUCUUUUAGCUGUGCAAUGCAAUCCUAAUCCUGGGAAGUACAAGGCUUUCUUCAUAGGAAUGAGUCCAACAUCAUAAUGGUGUGAAGCUAGUGCACAAUUUUCUUCGCAAUUGUGAGUUAAAAGCACAUCUGCUCUAUCAUUGUGCCCUAAUUUCCUUAAUUCUAUGAAACCCUAACCUAAAUUUCAAUCAAUUGAGCUUUUCACUUUGCUAUCCUAUAUUGAGCAGACCAAGGGUCAAU